UAGGGAAUCUUCGGCAAUGGACGAAAGUCUGACCGAGCAACGCCGCGUGAGUGAAGAAGGUUUUCGGAUCGUAAAACUCUGUUGUUAGAGAAGAACAAGGACGUUAGUAACUGAACGUCCCCUGACGGUAUCUAACCAGAAAGCCACGGCUAACUACGUGCCAGCAGCCGCGGUAAUACGUAGGUGGCAAGCGUUGUCCGGAUUUAUUGGGCGUAAAGCGAGCGCAGGCGGUUUCUUAAGUCUGAUGUGAAAGCCCCCGGCUCAACCGGGGAGGGUCAUUGGAAACUGGGGGACUUGAGUGGAGAAGAGGAGAGUGGAAUUCCAGGUGUAGCGGUGAAAUGCGUAGAUAUAUGGAGGAACACCAGUGGCGAAGGCGGCUCUCUGGUCUGUAACUGACGCUGAGGCUCGAAAGCGUGGGGAGCAAACAGG
rnacentral:rRNA from 1 species